CAGUCGCCGCGGUAAUACGGAGGGUGCAAGCGUUAAUCGGAAUUACUGGGCGUAAAGCGCACGCAGGCGGUUUGUUAAGUCAGAUGUGAAAUCCCCGAGCUUAACUUGGGAACUGCAUUUGAAACUGGCAAGCUAGAGUCUUGUAGAGGGGGGUAGAAUUCCAGGUGUAGCGGUGAAAUGCGUAGAGAUCUGGAGGAAUACCGGUGGCGAAGGCGGCCCCCUGGACGAAGACUGACGCUCAGGUACGAAAGCGUGGGGAGCAGACAGGAUUAGAUACCCGCGUAGUCCCUGUCUCUUAUAC
rnacentral:rRNA from 1 species